rnacentral:rRNA from 1 species
UAGUGAGUUUGAUCCUGGCUCAGAACGAACGCUGGCGGCAUGCCUAACACAUGCAAGUCGAACGAGACCUUCGGGUCUAGUGGCGCACGGGUGCGUAACGCGUGGGAAUCUGCCCUUGGGUUCGGAAUAACUCAGAGAAAUUUGAGCUAAUACCGGAUAAUGACGUAAGUCCAAAGAUUUAUCGCCCAAGGAUGAGCCCGCGUAGGAUUAGCUAGUUGGUGGGGUAAAGGCCUACCAAGGCGACGAUCCUUAGCUGGUCUGAGAGGAUGAUCAGCCACACUGGGACUGAGACACGGCCCAGACUCCUACGGGGAGGCAGCAGUGGGGAAUAUUGGACAAUGGGCGAAAGCCUGAUCCAGCAAUGUCGCGUGAGUGAUGAAGGCCCUUAGGGUUGUAAACCUCUUUCAGUACCGACGAAGCGAAAGUGACGGUA